rnacentral:rRNA from 1 species
CUUUCGGGGGUACACGAGCGGCGAACGGGUGAGUAACACGUGGGUGACCUGCCCUCCACUCUGGGAUAAGCCCGGGAAACUGGGUCUAAUACCGGAUAGGACCACUGAUCGCAUGGUUGGUGGUGGAAAGUUUUUUCGGUGGGGGAUGGGCCCGCGGCCUAUCAGCUUGUUGGUGGGGUGAUGGCCUACCAAGGCGGUGACGGGUAGCCGGCCUGAGAGGGCGACCGGCCACACUGGGACUGAGACACGGCCCAGACUCCUACGGGAGGCAGCAGUGGGGAAUAUUGCGCAAUGGGCGGAAGCCUGACGCAGCGACGCCGCGUGGGGGAUGACGGCCUUCGGGUUGUAAACCUCUUUCGCCAGGGACGAAGAGCAAUUGACGGUACCUGGAGAAGAAGCACCGGCCAACUACGUGCCAGCAGCCGCGGUAACACGUAGGGUGCGAGCGUUGUCCGGAAUUAUUGGGCGUAAAGAGCUCGUAGGCGGUGUGUCGCGUCGGCCGUGAAAACUUGGGGCUUAACUCUGAGCGUGCGGUCGAUACGGGCAUCACUUGAGUUCGGCAGGGGAGACUGGAAUUCCUGGUGUAGCGGUGAAAUGCGCAGAUAUCAGGAGGAACACCGGUGGCGAAGGCGGGUCUCUGGGCCGAUACUGACGCUGAGGAGCGAAAGCGUGGGGAGCGAACAGGAUUAGAUACCCUGGUAGUCCACGCCGUAAACGUUGGGCGCUAGGUGUGGGGACCA